rnacentral:lncRNA from 1 species
ACACAAUUAAAAAAAAUUCCCAAAAAUUCAUUUUCAUCAGUUUGUAAAAUUAUUUCAUAUUUUUCUACACCUGAUUCAUCCCUCAGUUUGGGAAAGUGUGUUCAGUUGAUACUGUAUUUUUUGUCCAAUCACACUGUUCAGAUACAUUGACUUAGGUAGGGUACACAAAAGAGCAACCUAAAUUCUGGAAUGCAAAUACUACCGUGCC